rnacentral:rRNA from 1 species
GGCGACCGGCGCACGGGGGCGGAACGCGAACGCAACCUACCUUUAACAGGGGGAUAACACUGAGAAAUUGGUACUAAUACCCCAUAAUAUCAUAGAACGCAUCUUUUAUGGUUGAAAAUUCCGAUGGUUAGAGAUGGGCAUGCGUUGUAUUACCUAGUUGGUGGGGUAACGGCUCACCAACGCAACAAUACAUAGGGGGACUGAGAGGUUAACCCCCCACUCUGCUACUGAAACACGAACCAGACUCCUACGGGACGCAGCAGUGAGGAAUAUUGGUCAAAGGACGCAAGUCUGAACCAUCCAUGCCGCGUGCAAGAUGACGGCUCUAUGAGUUGUACACUGCUUUUGUACGAGGGUAAACGCAGAUACGUGUAUCUGUAUGAAAGUAUCGUACGAAUAAGGAUCGGCUCUCUCUUUUUCUUCUGUUGUGGUAAUGCGGAGGAAAAAAAAAAAAAAAAAAAAAAAAAAAAUUUCCCGGGUGCGUAGCCGGUUUGAUAAGUUAGAGGUGAAAUUUCGGGGCUCAACCCUGAACGUGCCUAUAAUACUGUUGAGCUAGAGAGUAGUUGCGGUAGGCGGAAUGUAUGGUGUAGCGGUGAAAUGCUUAGAGAUCAUACAGACCUCCGUCUCCGACGGCAGCUUACCAAAAUAUGUCUGACGUUGAGGCACGAAAGCGUGGGGAGCAAACAGGAUUAGAUACCCUGGUAGUCCACGCAGUAAACGAUGAUAACUCGUUGUCGGCGAUACACAGUCGGUGACUAAGCGAAAGCGAUAAGUUAUCCACCUGGGGAGUACGUUCGCAAGAAUGAAACUCAAAGGAAUUGACGGGGGCCCGCACAAGCGGAGGAACAUGUGGUUUAAUUCGAUGAUACGCGAGGAACCUUACCCGGGCUUGAAAGUUAGCGACGAUUCUUGAAAGAGGAUUUCCCUUCGGGGCGCGAAACUAGGUGCUGCAUGGUUGUCGUCAGCUCGUGCCGUGAGGUGUCGGGUUAAGUCCCAUAACGAGCGCAACCCCUACCGUUAGUUGCCAUCAGGUCAAGCUGGGCACUCUGGCGGGACUGCCGGUGUAAGCCGAGAGGAAGGUGGGGAUGACGUCAAAUCAGCACGGCCCUUACGUCCGGGGCUACACACGUGUUACAAUGGUAGGUACAGAGGGCAGCUACCCAGCGAUGGGAUGCGAAUCUCGAAAGCCUAUCUCAGUUCGGAUUGGAGGCUGAAACCCGCCUCCAUGAAGUUGGAUUCGCUAGUAAUCGCGCAUCAGCCAUGGCGCGGUGAAUACGUUCCCGGGCCUUGCACA